AGACCCGAAACCCGGUGAUCUAGCCAUGGGCAGGUUGAAGGUUGGGUAACACUAACUGGAGGACCGAACCGACUAAUGUUGAAAAAUUAGCGGAUGACCUGUGGCUGGGGGUGAAAGGCCAAUCAAACCGGGAGAUAGCUGGUUCUCCCCGAAAGCUAUUUAGGUAGCGCCUCGUGAAUUCAUCUCCGGGGGUAGAGCACUGUUUCGGCUAGGGGGCCAUCCCGGCUUACCAACCCGAUGCAAACUGCGAAUACCGGAGAAUGUUAUCACGGGAGACACACGGCGGGUGCUAACGUCCGUCGUGAAGAGGGAAACAACCCAGACCGCCAGCUAAGGUCCCAAAGUCAUGGUUAAGUGGGAAACGAUGUGGGAAGGCCCAGACAGCCAGGAUGUUGGCUUAGAAGCAGCCAUCAUUUAAAGAAAGCGUAAUAGCUCACUGGUCGAGUCGGCCUGCGCGGAAGAUGUAACGGGGCUAAACCAUGCACCGAAGCUGCGGCAGCGAACGUAUCACUUAAAGCGAUUCAGCGGGUUACGAUUGACGGAGCGAAGCGACGUCAAAGCGUAUACAAAGUCGAGUCGGUUUAAGGAUACGUUCGUUGGGUAGGGGAGCGUUCUGUAAGCCUGUGAAGGUGGCCUGUGAGGGUUGCUGGAGGUAUCAGAAGUGCGAAUGCUGACAUAAGUAACGAUAAAGCGGGUGAAAAGCCCGCUCGCCGGAAGACCAAGGGUUCCUGUCCAACGUUAAUCGGGGCAGGGUGAGUCGACCCCUAAGGCGAGGCCGAAAGGCGUAGUCGAUGGGAAACAGGUUAAUAUUCCUGUACUUGGUGUUACUGCGAAGGGGGGACGGAGAAGGCUAUGUUGGCCGGGCGACGGUUGUCCCGGUUUAAGCGUGUAGGCUGGUUUUCCAGGCAAAUCCGGAAAAUCAAGGCUGAGGCGUGAUGACGAGGCACUACGGUGCUGAAGCAACAAAUGCCCUG
rnacentral:rRNA from 1 species